CACAGGGAGGUAGUGACAGAAGGUAACGAUGCGGGGCUCUCAGAGCCGCGCAAUCGGAAUGAGUACGAAGUAAACGCACUAGCGAGUAGCGAUUGGAGGGCAAGUCUGGUGCCAGCAGCCGCGGUAAUUCCAGCUCCAAUAGCGUAUAUUCAAGUUGUUGCAGUUAAAAAGCUCGUAGUCGGAUGUUAGGGGCGGUGGUGGGGUGCGCUUCGGUGCUACUCGAUCGCUAUAGCCCCUGGAUGCGGCGGGAUGGACUCAUCCCCCGCGUGUUACUGUGAGGAAAUUAGAGUGUUCAAAGCAGACAGGCGUCUGAAUACUGCAGCAUGGGAUAAUGGACAGGACUCUGGACGUUGGUUUGGCGGACGGGGUAAUGGUUAAUAGGAGCAGUUGGGGGCGGUGGGAUUCAGGCGUCAGAGGUGAAAUUCUUGGAUUGGCUGAAGACCGACGAGUGCGAAAGCAUCUGCCAGGGAUGUGUCCAUUGAUCAAGAACGAAAGUCAGGGGAUCGAAGACGAUUAGAUACCGUCGUAGUCUUGACAGUAAACGAUGCCGACUGGGGAUUGGCGGACAACUAGAGGUUGCCGUCGGCACCCUGUGAGAAAUCAAAGUUUCUGGUUCUGGGGAGAGUAUGGUCGCAAGGCUGAAAUUUAAAGGAAUUGACGGAAGGGCACACCAAGAAUGGAUUUUGCGGCUUAAUUUGACUCAACACGGGGAAACUCACCAGGUCCGGACAUGGGAAGGAUUGACAGAUUGAGAGCUCUUUCAAGAUUCUAUGGGAGGUGGUGCAUGGCCGUUCGUAGUUGGUGGAGUGAUUUGUCUGGUUAAUUCCGAUAACGAGCGAGACCUGGAUCUGCUAAAUACCGUUCCCGACGAUAGUCGGGAACGGUUCUUAGAGAGACUGAGCACGCGUAGUGCUCGGAGGUUCCAGGCAAUAACAGGUCUGUGAUGCCCUUAGAUGUUCUGGGCUGCACGCGCGAUACAAUGGCCCAGGCAGCGGGCGGGACCGCGGCCGGAAGGCUGGGGGAAUCCUGUGAGGCUGGGCCGUGCUGGGGAUAGACCAUUGCAACUAUUGGUCUUGAACGAGGAAUUCUUAGUAAGCGCGGGUCAUCAGCCCGCGCUGACUACGUCCCUGCCCUUUGUACACACCGCCCGUCGUUACUACCGAUU
rnacentral:rRNA from 1 species